rnacentral:lncRNA from 1 species
GGGGCGCGCUGCGCUGCGCCGCGCCUCAGCUGGCCCCGGGGCUGGGAUCAUGGCGAGGCGAUAAGGGUGCGCGAUAAGGGCCGCUUACAGCUGUGCUGGUACUGGCCCGGUGGCCCUCAGCAGCACUUGGGAGUCUGCGUGCCUCCUCCUUCAGAAUCCACAGGUUGUGGGAAGGAGGAGAAACGCUACAUGUAAAUAGAGCACACUACAAAAAAUAUACGGCAGUGCAGGCAACAGAGUCAGGGACUGGAAACGUAGGAAGAAGCAAAACACCCAGACUAUGUAGGCAGUAAAUGAAGGCCAUCACGUCUACCAACAUACCAUUGGGUUGUGUUGAACAUUGAAGGUAAACCCAUCUGUGUUGGGAAUUUACAGAAGACACAACUCUGGAUUUUUCUAGGGAGGAGGCAGGAACAAAACGGCGCUAUAUUUCUCCGCAUAGCUGGCGUUAACAAUCUCAUUCUGAAUCGGUUUGCUAAAAUUGCCACGGAAUUCUUUAGCCAACCCGUCCGCUGAGUGGAAUGCAGUAGCUCUUUGGGCAUGGGACAUUGUGGUUGACAACUGUGCCAUUUGCAGAAACCAUAUUAUGGAUCUAUGUUAAAGGGAACUCGUACCAUGGUUGCCCUGGCUCAAGGAGAAGACAUUUUGAAGAGCUCUGUCAUCAAAUUUAGCAGUGGGCUGUUGCUGCAGGAGGCGUGUGCUUGACUUCUGAUACCUGCCACUGUGACUACCUACAUGUAAAUCUCGGGGUACUUGGGUUACAAACCUUCAGGAGGU